CGGGGGGAGCAAGCGUUGUUCGGAUUUACUGGGCGUAAAGGGCGCGUAGGCGGCCACCGCAAGUCAGUUGCGAAAUCUCUGGGCUUAACCCAGAAAGGUCAACUGAUACUGCGGGGCUAGAGUGCAGAAGGGGCAACUGGAAUUCUCGGUGUAGCGGUGAAAUGCGUAGAUAUCGAGAGGAACACCUGCGGCGAAGGCGGGUUGCUGGGCUGACACUGACGCUGAGGCGCGAAAGCUAGGGGAGCGAACGGGGAUUAGAUACCCCGGUAGUCCUAGCCUUAAACGAUGAAUGCUUGGUGUCUGGGGUUUUAUAGUCCCCGGGUGCCGUCGCUAACGCUUUAGGCAUUCCGCCUGGGGAGUACGGUCGCAAGACUG
rnacentral:rRNA from 1 species